rnacentral:rRNA from 1 species
GAUGAACGCUGGCGGCGUGCCUAAUACAUGCAAGUCGAGCGAACGGACGAGAAGCUUGCUUCUCUGACGUUAGCGGCGGACGGGUGAGUAACACGUGGAUAACCUACCUAUAAGACUGGGAUAACUUCGGGAAACCGGAGCUAAUACCGGAUAAUAUAUUGAACCGCAUGGUUCAAAAGUGAAAGACGGUCUUGCUGUCACUUAUAGAUGGAUCCGCGCUGCAUUAGCUAGUUGGUAAGGUAACGGCUUACCAAGGCAACGAUGCAUAGCCGACCUGAGAGGGUGAUCGGCCACACUGGAACUGAGACACGGUCCAGACUCCUACGGGAGGCAGCAGUAGGGAAUCUUCCGCAAUGGGCGAAAGCCUGACGGAGCAACGCCGCGUGAGUGAUGAAGGUCUUCGGAUCGUAAAACUCUGUUAUUAGGGAAGAACAUAUGUGUAAGUAACUGUGCACGUCUUGACGGUACCUAAUCAGAAAGCCACGGCUAACUACGUG